GACGAACGCUGGCGGCGUGCCUAAUACAUGCAAGUUGAGCGCUGAAGGUUGGUACUUGUACCAACUGGAUGAGCAGCGAACGGGUGAGUAACGCGUGGGGAAUCUGCCUUUGAGCGGGGGACAACAUUUGGAAACGAAUGCUAAUACCGCAUAAAAACUUUAAACACAAGUUUUAAGUUUGAAAGAUGCAAUUGCAUCACUCAAAGAUGAUCCCGCGUUGUAUUAGCUAGUUGGUGAGGUAAAGGCUCACCAAGGCGAUGAUACAUAGCCGACCUGAGAGGGUGAUCGGCCACAUUGGGACUGAGACACGGCCCAAACUCCUACGGGAGGCAGCAGUAGGGAAUCUUCGGCAAUGGACGAAAGUCUGACCGAGCAACGCCGCGUGAGUGAAGAAGGUUUUCGGAUCGUAAAACUCUGUUGGUAGAGAAGAACGUUGGGGAGAGUGGAAAGCUCAUCAAGUGACGGUAACUACCCAGAAAGGGACGGCUAACUACGUG
rnacentral:rRNA from 1 species